rnacentral:rRNA from 1 species
ACUCAAAUGAAUUGACGGGGGCCCGCACAAGCGGUGGAGCAUGUGGUUUAAUUCGAUGCAACGCGAAGAACCUUACCUACCCUUGACAUACAGAGGAGCUUGCAGAGAUGCGAGUGUGCCGAAAGGAACUUUGAUACAGGUGCUGCAUGGCUGUCGUCAGCUCGUGUCGUGAGAUGUUGGGUUAAGUCCCGUAACGAGCGCAACCCCUAUUCUUAAUUGCCAGCACGUGAUGGUGGGGACUUUAAGGAGACUGCCGGUGACAAACCGGAGGAAGGCGGGGACGACGUCAAGUCAUCAUGGCCCUUACGGGUAGGGCUACACACGUGCUACAAUGGCUGGUACAACGGGGAGCGAGAGGGUGACCUGGAGCGAAUCCUAAAAAGCCGGUCGUAGUCCGGAUUGAAGUCUGCAACUCGACUUCAUGAAGUCGGAAUCGCUAGUAAUCGUGAAUCAGCAUGUCGCGGUGAAUACGUUCCCGGGCCUUGCACACACCGCCCGU